rnacentral:rRNA from 1 species
GAUCAGUGGCGAACGGGUGAGUAACACGUGAGCAAUCUGCCCCUGACUCUGGGAUAAGCGCUGGAAACGGCGUCUAAUACUGGAUACGAACCGUGGAGGCAUCUUCAACGGUUGGAAAGAUUUUUUGGUCAGGGAUGAGCUCGCGGCCUAUCAGCUUGUUGGUGAGGUAAUGGCUCACCAAGGCGUCGACGGGUAGCCGGCCUGAGAGGGUGACCGGCCACACUGGGACUGAGACACGGCCCAGACUCCUACGGGAGGCAGCAGUGGGGAAUAUUGCACAAUGGGCGAAAGCCUGAUGCAGCAACGCCGCGUGAGGGAUGACGGCCUUCGGGUUGUAAACCUCUUUUAGCAGGGAAGAAGCGAAAGUGACGGUACCUGCAGAAAAAGCGCCGGCUAACUACGUGCCAGCAGCCGCGGUAAUACGUAGGGCGCAAGCGUUAUCCGGAAUUAUUGGGCGUAAAGAGCUCGUAGGCGGUUUGUCGCGUCUGCUGUGAAAUCCCGAGGCUCAACUUCGGGUCUGCAGUGGGUACGGGCAGACUAGAGUGCGGUAGGGGAGAUUGGAAUUCCUGGUGUAGCGGUGGAAUGCGCAGAUAUCAGGAGGAACACCGAUGGCGAAGGCAGAUCUCUGGGCCGUAACUGACGCUGAGGAGCGAAAGGGUGGGGAGCAAACAGGCUUAGAUACCCUGGUAGUCCACCCCGUAAACGUUGGGAACUAGUUGUGGGGUCCAUUCCACGGAUUCCGUGACGCAGCUAACGCAUUAAGUUCCCCGCCUGGGGGAGUACGGGCCGCAAGGCUAAAACUCAAAGGAAUUGACGGGGACCCGCACAAGCGGCGGAGCAUGCGGAUUAAUUCGAUGCAACGCGAAGAACCUUACCAAGGCUUGACAUAUACGAGAACGCUGCAGAAAUGUAGAACUCUUUGGACACUCGUAAACAGGUGGUGCAUGGUUGUCGUCAGCUCGUGUCGUGAGAUGUUGGGUUAAGUCCCGCAACGAGCGCAACCCUCGUUCUAUGUUGCCAGCACGUAAUGGUGGGAACUCAUGGGAUACUGCCGGGGUCAACUCGGAGGAAGGUGGGGAUGACGUCAAAUCAUCAUGCCCCUUAUGUCUUGGGCUUCACGCAUGCUACAAUGGCCGGUACAAAGGGCUGCAAUACCGUGAGGUGGAGCGAAUCCCAAAAAGCCGGUCCCAGUUCGGAUUGAGGUCUGCAACUCGACCUCAUGAAGUCGGAGUCGCUAGUAAUCGCAGAUCAGCAACGCUGCGGUGAAUACGUUCCCGGGUCUUGUACACACCGCCCGUCAAGUCAUGAAAGUCG